UGUAUUUGAAAUAAAAGAAGGAAAAAAUGCAGAAAAAAUAAAAGAAAUAUUAACAAUAAUUUAUCCAUUACUUAUUAUUAAAGGGGGAUAGCAAUGGCCGUGGGUCACGUGUGUGGCCGACAUACCGCGAAUGAAUAGGGGGGUCUGGAGGCAUUAACUCCCCAGAAAAUUUUUGAAAUUUCAAGCCCAAAAAUGCCAUUUCCUGCCGUCUGAGCAUCUAAAUUUUCUAGAAUUUAUCCUAACUAUACUUCUAUUUGAAAUAAAAGAAGGAAAAAACACACAAAGAAUUUAAAAAAUAUUAACAAUAAUUUAUCAUUACUUAGUGUUAGAAACACGUAGGAUGCGCACGCGGUGACACAGUCCUUUAAAUCGAUUUUGUUAAACAAGGACCAAGGAUAAAGCCUAAAACGUACGUUCCGUUUAUCAAUUUGUUAUUCUUCGCUGGUUUGUUUGUAUAAAUUUAGGAAAAAGGGACUUUUCCUGGGGGGGGGGGGUGAAAGUGAGCCUCAGAACGUGCAUUUUCAUUUCCGAUCAGCCUGCAUCAGAGCAAAGUAUCCAAGCUUUCUUGGCGACGUUCUUGUUCCUCCAGACUUUCCUCCCCUUCUGAAGGUGGAGCACGUCCAAAGGCUUGCAGGAGAGUUCGGCUGGGUCCUUUAGAAACGUACUUGCCAACUUAAAUUGCUAACUUAAAAUCUGCGUAUUUUGGAGUAUUUUGUGUUUUGUUAGUUUUGCUUUGUAAGAUAUUUAAAAUAGGAUAAUCACUUUAAGAUAUCAUAUGGAGCAUAAGGACCGCCUUGGGCUUGCAUCUAGUCCUUAAGUUUGUUUUAUUAUAUAGCAAGUAUAUUAGUAAUGACAUAAGCAAUGUUAUUAUUAUUAAUAUUACUUAAUGACCGGACAUAAGCAAUGUGGAUUGACUUUUUUAUGAUACGCUGUACUAAUAAAGGAAAGCUUCGCUAAAUUUCUUUACUAGUUUUAAUUCAUUGAGCGGUUUUCUAAUUCCCAAGACACCAGAGUCCGUUUUAUAGUUUCGUAAUUCCCCGAUUCCCGUUUAUCCUGUCGAAUUUCUGUUUCUUUUUUCUGUUCUUUUCCCCCCGUACAUAUGAUUAAUAUUACGUAUUAAUAAUAAUUCAUAAUUGCUCGACCCCUCCCCCCGUUACUCGUUCCUCCAUUCCCCGUUCUCCGUUCCCCCCAUUCCCCGUUCCUC